rnacentral:rRNA from 1 species
AUGCACGCUGGCGGCGUGCCUAAUACAUGCAAGUCGAGCGAACAGACGAGGAGCUUGCUCCUCUGACGUUAGCGGCGGACGGGUGAGUAACACGUGGAUAACCUACCUAUAAGACUGGGAUAACUUCGGGAAACCGGAGCUAAUACCGGAUAAUAUAUUGAACCGCAUGGUUCAAUAGUGAAAGACGGUUUUGCUGUCACUUAUAGAUGGAUCCGCGCCGCAUUAGCUAGUUGGUAAGGUAACGGCUUACCAAGGCAACGAUGCGUAGCCGACCUGAGAGGGUGAUCGGCCACACUGGAAUUGAGACACGGUCCAGACUCCUACGGGAGGCAGCAGUAGGGAAUCUUCCGCAAUGGGCGAAAGCCUGACGGAGCAACGCCGCGUGAGUGAUGAAGGUCUUCGGAUCGUAAAACUCUGUUAUUAGGGAAGAACAAAUGUGUAAGUAACUAUGCACGUCUUGACGGUACCUAAUCAGAAAGCCACGGCUAACUACGUG